rnacentral:rRNA from 1 species
CGAAGAACCUUACCAAGGCUUGACAUACACGAGAACGGGCCAGAAAUGGUCAACUCUUUGGACACUCGUGAACAGGUGGUGCAUGGUUGUCGUCAGCUCGUGUCGUGAGAUGUUGGGUUAAGUCCCGCAACGAGCGCAACCCUCGUUCUACGUCGCCAGCACGUGAUGGUGGGUACUCAUAGGAGACUGCCGGGGUCAACUCGGAGGAA